rnacentral:rRNA from 1 species
UACGAAGGGUGCAAGCGUUAAUCGGAAUUACUGGGCGUAAAGCGUGCGUAGGUGGUGAGUUAAGUCUGAUGUGAAAUCCCCGGGCUCAACCUGGGAAUGGCAUUGGAUACUGGCUCGCUAGAGUGCGGUAGAGGGUGGUGGAAUUCCCGGUGUAGCAGUGAAAUGCGUAGAGAUCGGGAGGAACAUCUGUGGCGAAGGCGGCCACCUGGACCAACACUGACACUGAGGCACGAAAGCGUGGGGAGCAAACAGG